CUCCUAGUAGCUUUUUUGAUUUCUUGCACAUUCUCUCAUUCCACACUAUGCUUUGUGUAGACCGCGGUUCCAGUGGCUAGGGGAGAGCUAAAAGAGUGUCUCACAUGUCCCACCUAGUUCUUUGUGAAAAAUUGCUGCCCAUACCCAGCAGCUUAAGGGUAACCCAAUGUUUGUAGUAGGGCGGAUUCCUUCGCUGCAGAUAACUGCUCGGUCCCGAAAUGAGUCGACACAGUAUAGAUGGAUAUAUAUAGAUGGUUUAUUAAGCAGUCAUACGCGCGGCGCGGGUGUAGAAUAUGGAAGUAUUUAUGUAUGUAUAUAUGAUGAAUGUAGAUGUAACGUGUACCGGAAUGUACUGGGGUGUGUAGCAUACUAAACCUAACUUAACGGCUGGCGGCCCGCCAGCUCGCGAGCGCCAGGAAAGAAGGAGAGCGCGAGAGCGUAGGGAGUGAGAGCGCAAGCGAGCUCCGGCUGUUAACAACAACCCGCUGCUAACUCGCUGCUGCUACUUUC
rnacentral:lncRNA from 1 species